UACAGAGGUCUCAAGCGUUGUUCGGAUUCAUUGGGCGUAAAGGGUGCGUAGGCGGCGCGGUAAGUCGGGUGUGAAAUCUCGGAGCUCAACCCCGGGCCUGCAGCCGAUACGGGCAGACUAGAGUUCGGCAGGGGAGACUGGAAUUCCUGGUGUAGCGGUGAAAUGCGCAGAUAUCAGGAGGAACACCGGUGGCGAAGGCGGGUCUCUGGACAGUUACUGACGCUGAGGCACGAAGGCCAGGGGAGCAAACGGG
rnacentral:rRNA from 1 species